AGGGCUCCCAUUGAUUCCACAUUAAGCAACCUGCAUCUGGAAUGUGAGCUGCUGUCUUAGCUGCUACCAAGCUGAUGAUGGGGCAUGGUAAGCAGAAAAUGCAUUUUAGAAGAAAAUGAGUCUCUGAUCUCAGGAUUUGUCUGAUCUCUCACGAUUGGGAUGGCCCAUUCCUAGAGGGGGAGAAGACCUGGAAAACACUGCUAGACCAACUCAAAAUUACAAAGUUUUCCAGAGCUUAUAUGUCUUCUAAGCCAUAUGUCUAUGUCUGCAGGAAUGUAGACAAUUCAGAGGCUUUGUUCCCCAUAAUUUGGAACUUUUCUUCAGAUUUGACCAAGUCGGGUAGAGAUGAUCAAACCUAAUGGGAAAAAGACUGAAACAACAAAAACAGAAACAGGCAAACACAACCAGGCAAACUCAACCAAUUGUCAACCAGAAGAUGUUUAAAUUCACCUAUAGCCUGGAAGCACACCCCACCCUAUCCCGUUUUUGAGUUGUCCCGCCUUUCUGGACCAAACCAAUGUAUUUCCUAAAUGUAUUUGAUUGAUGUCUCAUGCUUCUCUAAAAUGUAUACAACCAAGCCGUGCCCUGACCACCUGGGGCACAUGUUCUCAGGACCUCCUGAGGGCUGUGUCACAGGCCACGGUCACUCGGCUCAGAAUAAAUCUCUUCAAUUAUGUAAGAGUUCAACUCUUUUUGUCGACAUAUGGUAUGGAUUUGUGUGUAUACUUCUUCCCCAG
rnacentral:lncRNA from 10 species